UACAGAGGGUGCAAGCGUUAAUCGGAAUUACUGGGCGUAAAGCGCAUGUAGGUGGUUUUGUAAGUUCGAUGUGAAAGCCCUGGGCUCAACCUGGGAAUGGCAUUGAAUACUGCGAGACUUGAGUGGGAUAGAGGGUGGUGGAAUUUCCGGUGUAGCGGUGAAAUGCGUAGAGAUCGGAAAGAACAUCAGUGGCGAAGGCGGCCACCUGGGUCCCAACUGACACUAAAGUGCGAAAGCAUGGGGAGCAAACAGG
rnacentral:rRNA from 1 species